AUGAACGCUAGCUACAGGCUUAACACAUGCAAGUCGAGGGGCAGCAUGAACUUAGCUUGCUAAGUUUGAUGGCGACCGGCGCACGGGUGAGUAACACGUAUCCAACCUGCCGAUGACUCGGGGAUAGCCUUUCGAAAGAAAGAUUAAUACCCGAUGGCAUAGUUCUUCCGCAUGGUAGAACUAUUAAAGAAUUUCGGUCAUCGAUGGGGAUGCGUUCCAUUAGGUUGUUGGCGGGGUAACGGCCCACCAAGCCUUCGAUGGAUAGGGGUUCUGAGAGGAAGGUCCCCCACAUUGGAACUGAGACACGGUCCAAACUCCUACGGGAGGCAGCAGUGAGGAAUAUUGGUCAAUGGACGAGAGUCUGAACCAGCCAAGUAGCGUGAAGGAUGACUGCCCUAUGGGUUGUAAACUUCUUUUAUACGGGAAUAAAGUGAGGCACGUGUGCCUUUUUGUAUGUACCGUAUGAAUAAGGAUCGGCUAACUCCGUGCCAGCAGCCGCGGUAAUACGGAGGAUCCGAGCGUUAUCCGGAUUUAUUGGGUUUAAAGGGAGCGUAGGCGGACGCUUAAGUCAGUUGUGAAAGUUUGCGGCUCAACCGUAAAAUUGCAGUUGAUACUGGGUGUCUUGAGUACAGUAGAGGCAGGCGGAAUUCGUGGUGUAGCGGUGAAAUGCUUAGAUAUCACGAAGAACUCCGAUUGCGAAGGCAGCCUGCUGGACUGUAACUGACGCUGAUGCUCGAAAGUGUGGGUAUCAAACAGGAUUAGAUACCCUGGUAGUCCACACAGUAAACGAUGAAUACUCGCUGUUUGCGAUAUACAGUAAGCGGCCAAGCGAAAGCGUUAAGUAUUCCACCUGGGGAGUACGCCGGCAACGGUGAAACUCAAAGGAAUUGACGGGGGCCCGCACAAGCGGAGGAACAUGUGGUUUAAUUCGAUGAUACGCGAGGAACCUUACCCGGGCUUGAAUUGCAACUGAAUGAUGUGGAGACAUGUCAGCCGCAAGGCAGUUGUGAAGGUGCUGCAUGGUUGUCGUCAGCUCGUGCCGUGAGGUGUCGGCUUAAGUGCCAUAACGAGCGCAACCCUUAUCGAUAGUUACCAUCAGGUGAUGCUGGGGACUCUGUCGAGACUGCCGUCGUAAGAUGUGAGGAAGGUGGGGAUGACGUCAAAUCAUCAUGCCCCUUAUGACCUGGGCUACACACGUGCUACAAUGGCGCAUACAAAGAGAAGCGACCUCGCGAGAGCAAGCGGACCUCAUAAAGUGCGUCGUAGUCCGGAUUGGAGUCUGCAACUCGACUCCAUGAAGUCGGAAUCGCUAGUAAUCGCGGAUCAGCACGCCGCGGUGAAUACGUUCCCGGGCCUUGUACACACCGCCCGUCACACCACGAGAGUUUGUAACACCCGAAGUCGGUGAGGUAACCUUUUGGAGCCAGCCGCCUAAGGUGGGACAGAUGAUUGGGGUG
rnacentral:rRNA from 1 species